GUUCCAUUCCUCAUGCCUGAAGGAAACAAUUUUUUUCACCUUUAUGGAGAACAGUAAGAAAAACAAACAAACAAACAGACUUGAUCCAUCACAGAUGUUGGUCCACAUGUUUGUGACAUGAUUUCUCAUCCAGCGUGUUUAUGUUUUUAUCUUUGUAGAGAUUGGGAUGGUGUAGUGGCUAACAUGCCAUCAGAGGCCGUGGAACCCGUCCCAGUUCCAAAGUGAGUGUCCUUGAGUUGUUUUAAUUGUCUUUUUUCUGAGUAACUCUAGAUCAGAGUGUCUCCCUGCUCUCUCUCUCUACUACUCUCAGCUACUGUUUCCCUGCCCUGCUCACUGUUUGCAUUUUGUUUUUCAGGAAAAGAAAGCAUGAGGAGGAUAAGAGGACGUAUAUCAAGAAACCUCCCAACGCGUUUAUGCUUUUCCUCAAAAGCCAGAGGAAGACGGUACAGGAAGAGCUCGGCAUUAAGAACAGUGCCGUAGUAAACAAAGUUCUUUCUGAACGCUGGAAGUCAUUGCCAGCAGAACAAAGAGACGUCUUUAAAGCAGAAGCCGAAGCCAAAGCUAAAAUUCAUGCUCUGAAUAAUCCCGGCUGGAGCAACAAAGUGAACUACGGGAAAAAGAGUAAAAAGUCCAACGCUAAAGCUCCACCUCUGCCUCCACCCUCCUGCUGA
rnacentral:lncRNA from 1 species